UACGUAGGGUGCAAGCGUUAAUCGGAAUUACUGGGCGUAAAGCGUGCGCAGGCGGUUUUGUAAGUCUGUCGUGAAAUCCCCGGGCUUAACCUGGGAAUGGCGAUGGAGACUGCAAGGCUAGAGUUUGGCAGAGGGGGGUAGAAUUCCACGUGUAGCAGUGAAAUGCGUAGAGAUGUGGAGGAACACCGAUGGCGAAGGCAGCCCCCUGGGUCAAGACUGACGCUGAGGCGCGAAAGCGUGGGGAGCAAACAGG
rnacentral:rRNA from 1 species